AUGAGAGGACUACAGAUGUCUCCUCAGUUCAUUACAAGUGUAGUAUGGUCUAGGUUCAGUGUUCUGGGACUACAGAUAGCUCCUCAAGCGUUCAGACUCUUCCGUCGAGCUUCCCGGUCGGGCGUCAUGAAUCCAAGCUCCUACACGGAGGACGACCUAGGACCCAGAUCUGACAUUUCGCGUCCGCAUCUGUGGUUUCCGGCGAGGUUCCAGUCGCCAUGGAUGUGGUGGCUGUUGUACUUGCACAUGAACCUCAUAGUAGUUGGCUUCAUAUAUCAUUUUCACACUGGGGAUUCUUCCAAUUUUGGCCAAGAUGACAUACAACAUGGGGUCCCAUGUAUUCUCAUGAAGUUUUUGUUUUUUCAUGCAUCAACAAUCUUCCAAUUUUGUGUUGGUCGUUUCUUGGAGGGGGUGGAGGGGCGCGGGCUUGCUGGCCAUGGUCGACAGGCCCGGAGAUGGAUUGAGGCGCCGGGGGAGGGGAGGCCUUCUCCCUCUUCUUUAGUGAUUGGCUCAGCCAUGGCGGCGGGCUGGGCUUGGCACAAGUACUGCCAAUCUGCCAUCUUCACUCACCUUUUUCAUGUUCAUUUCGCAUUGCCGCAGAGCCGCCGCCGCCACCGCCGCCCUGCCUCCCGGGCGGACGGCCGGACCCUCACACCUGCCCCUUUCUUUCGCUGCACCCAUACAUUUGAUAGUUGCACGGAGACAUAUGGUAGUUGCACAAUUGCUAUGCUUAGGUUGUCACCAGAGAUAUAUGGUAGUUGCACACUAAGCACAGGGGUUGGUCACAAUAACUUUUGUUUGGAGCUUUUUGCAGAUACCCCCUGUGUGGCAGGCAGUCAGGUGUCAGGUCUCAUGAAGGGAAAUGACAUGGCAGAUCACUGCAAAUUGAACAUAAUAGGCCAGUUGGCUUCUGUAAUUUGUUUAGUUGCACCAAUUAGCAUACUGAUUUGCACAUAUUCUGUGCAAAAACCCCCCACGCAAUCGUUGUGUUGUCCAGUCUUCCCCAACUCUCUCCAUGAAUUGCUCGUUCAAGCUUUUGAUGGUUCCUUUGUUCUCCCCUCUCUCCCUCUCUUCUUAAUUUUUUGGAGCCGCCAUGGCAUUUUCUGCCGAUGGAGCUUUUCCCCUUGGGGAUUUCUUCUCCUUUCGUGGGGGAGAAGCAGAUGGUGUGGGGUGGGGAGGGACGGAAGGACGGGUGCACGUGAUCCCCAGGGCCAGCUGUCGCGCGCGGGGGCGGCGGUUGGUAGCUCCUUUUUGCGCGGGGGAGGGGAAUUGCUGACCUUCCUUUUUUGUCAGUGGAGGGGACCAAGUGUUACCUUUUUGCGACUUGGCAGGGCUGCAGUUACGCGACAAAGGCAGCAGCAAGGUGCAGCAGAGGCACGCAGACGGCGCGGCUUCGGACGGCAGCGGCGGGUUGCUGCAGUGGAUAGCAGGGACGAAGCGAACACCGUGAUGGUGGCCGUGGGUGGUGACUCAAAAGACAUGGCGAGUCAGCCCGCCUACAGAGACAGCGUAAGCCGGCUGCAUAUUAAGGCGGCGGCGGCCGUUGAUCAUUGCGAUGGCAACAGCAGCAAGUGCAGCCACUCAACGUCUGGGGUGGCUCACAGGUCAAACGAAGCGCAGGUCGGACCAUCGAAGCUCGGCAGAACUUUGAUCCUUGUGCUCAUCAAGCAUUACCCAGAUCCGGCCCGCCCAGGCUCGAGUGCUGUCGCCGCCACGACCAGUGCCCGCAGAGCGCUCGACCCCAAGUUCCUCCUCCCGUGCGCUUCCUCCCUGGCCUCCCUCGCGCGUCGUCCGGCGACCGGCGUCGCCGCCGGCGACCACCCAGGAGCUCAGUGCCAGCACCAUGGAUGCCCAGUCCUCGAGCUCUCCUUGGAGGUUCGAACGCCGCCACGGGACCUUCACCGGCCAGAUCCGGCGCCUCCCUCUAGGAUCCGCGCGCCCUCGACCUCCUCGACCCGAUCCGGCGCCGCCCAACCCGCCAUGAGCUCCACCAUGGCUCCCGUCGAGAUCCUGUGCAUCCUCUCGGUCGACGCACCAUCGUCGCAUGAGGACUUGGAUGCCUGGCUCGCUGACAAACUCCCCCAAAUCCUACAGGAGGUUCAGUACACACCACACAAAAAGCAAAAAAUGAAUUCUAGGGGGAUCCGCGCCCGGUGGCUGCGGACGAGCGGCGCUAGCCAGGAUGUUCAUGGGAGCCUUCGGCCGGCUGAUUGGCCUCCCCAGCCCAUGGACAGCAGCUCGACGUCGAGCAGCAGCAGCAGGUUCUGCAACUUCGACGACCCCGAUGAGUCCGCGAUCAUGCUCAACUCCUACCAGAAGGGUGUGGAGGAGUUUCCCCUUGAACACCAUGACCUGAUUCUAAGAUACAAGCCUCCCUCUUCUGCCCUUCUUUUCUCCAUCCUCUGCUGGUCGCUAGCACAUGUGAAUCGUUCUCGUCAAGAGCAUGCUUGUGACAUCAUUACUGUGGCCGAGCAGCUCAUGGCAUCUGUGUCGCGCCUGCUCUGCCGCUGCCUUGACCCGCCGACGAUGUCGCCGGUUGAGCCGCAAGGGUGCAAGAUCAUAGUGGGGCCCAUUGCAUGGGCGUCGAGUAUGCUUGAUUUCCAUGUUUGUGACAAGUCGUGUGAGAUGAAGGUGAUGAACCAUCUCAAUGUGAAGCCAAGUUUGAUUGGUGAAGCUACAUUCAGCAAAGAAGAUAUGUUUAUUUGUAGGGAAUUUUUGCAGCUUUUUGAACCAUUUAUUUCUGAGCUAUGGAGGAGAGCAAAUAUUAUUCAUGAUUCUCUAGCUCAUCCUACAGGUGUACGCGAAGAUGGUAUUGCAACAUCUAUUGGAGAUGGCAAUGGUUCAGAAACUGAAAUUGAUAGUUUCGGAAAGGAGGAGGAUCUGUCUAGUUCUGCUACUGCUUUAGGCAAGAAUCCUUCAAAGAGAGGAUCACGCUUCUCUCUUCUUUCCCCAUCCCCAUGCCUUCUAUUUUUGUUUUCCUUUAUGAUAUCCAUAUGUUUUUAUGUUGGGGAAGACAAUGAAAUUAAGGUUGUCAAAAAGAAGGUUGAUGACUUUUAUUUCAGUGUAACUAGGCUUAAGAAUGAUCGUUCUAAGAGUUUUAAUGAUUGUGAUGUUUAUCCUACGUCAGUGUGUCUCUUUUGGCGUAUGGUUGAUAACAUCAAGAAGCUUUGGAGUGAUGCCAGCAAUGACAGGGAGACACCCUUCAGUCUACUUUCUAUUGACCACUUCCCUUUGGAUUGGAUUGAUGUCCCCCAACCAAAUAACAAGUCAUCGCCGGCCGUCACCUUGUCGUCCCCGCGACCACCGUCGUCCCUGCACCCCACCAAGGAGACCAGGAGCUCUGUAGUGGUAUUCUACGUCAUCUACGGCCACCUGUUCCAGCUCGACGACUCUGCAUCAUGCGGAUCGAGGUCUUCUUCCACCUCUUGCCACCGCGGCCUCACCGUCGAUCCACAUGACCUCGUCAACCCCGAACCCGCACGAGCUCGCCAUCGUCUUCCUCUCGGUGAGCUGCACCGGUUCCCCUUACCCACCCCAUUCGAUUUCGUCGCCGUAGACUAUCGCACCAUCGCGCCCCAGCUCCUAGUUGCCGUGCCCUGUGCCCGUGCUCCCCUCAGGGAUUAG
rnacentral:rRNA from 1 species